AGCGAAUAGAUACCCGGGUAGUCCACGCCCUAAACGAUGUCGACUGGUUGUUGGGGGUUUGACACUCUCAGUAAACGAAAGCUAAACGCGUGAAGUCGACCGCCUGGGGAGUACGGCCGCAAGGUUAAAACUCAAAGGAAUUGACGGGGACCCGCACAAGCGGUGGAUUAUGUGGAUUAAUUCGAUGCAACGCGAAAAACCUUACCUACCCUUGACAUGUCCGGAAGGCUGCUGAAAGGCGGCUGUGCCCGAAAGGGAACUGGAACACAGGUGCUGCAUGGCUGUCGUCAGCUCGUGUCGUGAGAUGUUGGGUUAAGUCCCGCAACGAGCGCAACCCUUGUCAUUAGUUGCUACCCGCAAGGGAGCACUCUAAUGAGACUGCCGGUGACAAACCGGAGGAAGGUGGGGAUGACGUCAAGUCCUCAUGGCCCUUAUGGGUAGGGCUUCACACGUAAUACAAUGGCGCGUACAGAGGGUUGCCAAGGAGCGAUCUGGAGCCAAUCCCGUAAAGCGCGUCGUAGUCCGGAUUGCAGUCUGCAACUCG
rnacentral:rRNA from 1 species